UACGGAGGAUCCGAGCGUUAUCCGGAAUUAUUGGGCGUAAAGGGUACGUAGGCGGGCUUGCAAGUCUGAUUUGAAAGCACAUGGCUUAACCAUGUGAGGUAAUUAGAAACUACGAGUCUAGAGAGUGGUAGAGGUAAAUGGAAUUCCAAGUGGAGCGGUGAAAUGCGUAGAGAUUUGGAGGAACACCAGUGGCGAAGGCGGUUUACUGGGCCACAUCUGACGCUGAUGUACGAAAGCGUGGGGAGCAAACAGGAUUAGAUACCCGCGUAGU
rnacentral:rRNA from 1 species